rnacentral:lncRNA from 1 species
UUUAUUCGUUUACAAAAAGCCAGAGGGUGCUCAGGCAGCUCUGGUGGAUCCUAUCAAGACGAUUGAUGGAAGGCAGUUGAGUUGUAAAUUUGCCAACGAUGGGAAGAAAGGGAAACCUGGCGGAGGGCCAGAUGGAAACCAAACGCAGGGGGCAGGUCAAGGAAACGUGCAUGGUGAUGGCAUGCCAAUGGCUCCUCCGUCGGCAAUGCCUGGUUCAGGCGGACAAUACGGUGGACCGGGAGGCAUGGGGUCAUAUGGAGGGUUUUCUAGUGGGCUUCAAGGGGCUCAGCCGCUGGCUCAUCAUCCGCUCAACUC